UUUGGAAGCUGAAUUACUGAAUACGUGCAGGUGAAGUGUCUGCCCGUACAAUCAGUCUUCCUAUAGUAAUGUACUGGAGAUCUCUGUCUGGCUCUGCCAAGCAUACACAGAGCCUGAUCGUUCCUCUCCACACACA